rnacentral:siRNA from 1 species
ACCAUCGAUCGUAUCAAGAAGC